rnacentral:rRNA from 1 species
UGGGGAAUAUUGCACAAUGGGCGCAAGCCUGAUGCAGCAACGCCGCGUGAACGAUGAAGGUCUUCGGAUCGUAAAGUUCUGUUGCAGGGGAAGAUAAUGACGGUACUCAGCGAGGAAGCCCCGGCUAACUACGUGCCAGCAGCCGCGGUAAUACGUAGGGGGCUAGCGUUAUCCGGAUUUACUGGGCGUAAAUGGUGCGUAGGUGGUCUUUCAAGUCGGUGGUUAAAGGCUACGGCUCAACCGUAGUUAGCCUCCGAAACUGGAAGACUUGAGUGCAGGAGAGGAAGGUGGAAUUCCCAGUGUAGCGGUGAAAUGCGUAGAUAUUGGGAGGAACACCAGUAGCGAAGGCGGCUUUCUGGACUGCAACUGACACUGAGGCACGAAAGCGUGGGUAGCAAACAGG